ensembl:snRNA U2 U2 spliceosomal RNA
AUUGCUUCUUGGCCUUUUGGAUAAGAUCAAGUGUAGUAUCUGUUCUUAUCAGUCUCAUAUCUGAUAUGUCCUUUAUCCAAGGACAAUAUAUAUAUAAAACAUUUAUUUAUUAUUAUAUGUAAGUACACUAUAGCUGUCUUCAGACACAUCAUAAGAAGGUGUCAGAUCUCAU